GCCAAGUAAGAAAAGCAACUGAGUCUGUGACUUUUAUGUCAGGUUAAUAUACAGAGUUUUAUAAUCUGUAGACUGGAAUGGUACCCUUAUUCUGCAAUUUAAUACUGAGAUGAUAAUUUGAUCAGUAGCUGCCUAUGGUCUGAGCUAUGGGGAGGCAUGGGUAUAUAUUCCAUACACCUACAGCAUGUAAAGGUUUAAUGGAGCUCCUAAUUACUCUCCCAUCACUUGCUGUACAUUAAAAGUAUAAGUUUUAAGACUACAGCUAUGGCAAAAAGAAGUCAAGAAAGGAACGAAAAUUUGGCGAUGUUACCAGGACUUUGCUAUGGAGCUGCUGCCACAGUACUGUGUGCUGAUAUCUAGAUCAUUAGACAUCAGGAGAAAAGCCAGUGUGUUCACGGAAACAGUGCUUCCUCAGACAAGUGGAAGAUCUUCCUGGAACUUACUAGAUUCCCAGCUGAAUCCCCUGAAGCAUCGGUCUUGUAAUGUGACAUGA
rnacentral:lncRNA from 1 species